AGCGGCGGAUGGGUGAGUAACACGUGGGGAACCUGCCCCUAAGUCUGGGAUACCAUUUGGAAACAGGUGCUAAUACCGGAUAAUAAAGCAGAUCGCAUGAUCAGCUUUUGAAAGGCGGCGUAAGCUGUCGCUAAGGGAUGGCCCCGCGGUGCAUUAGCUAGUUGGUAAGGUAACGGCUUACCAAGGCGACGAUGCAUAGCCGAGUUGAGAGACUGAUCGGCCACAUUGGGACUGAGACACGGCCCAAACUCCUACGGGAGGCAGCAGUAGGGAAUCUUCCACAAUGGACGCAAGUCUGAUGGAGCAACGCCGCGUGAGUGAAGAAGGUUUUCGGAUCGUAAAGCUCUGUUGUUGGUGAAGAAGGAUAGAGGUAGUAACUGGCCUUUAUUUGACGGUAAUCAACCAGAAAGUCACGGCUAACUACGUGCCAGCAGCCGCGGUAAUACGUAGGUGGCAAGCGUUGUCCGGAUUUAUUGGGCGUAAAGCGAGCGCAGGCGGAAAAAUAAGUCUAAUGUGAAAGCCCUCGGCUUAACCGAGGAACUGCAUCGGAAACUGUUUUUCUUGAGUGCAGAAGAGGAGAGUGGAACUCCAUGUGUAGCGGUGGGAUGCGUAGAUAUAUGGAAGAACACCAGUGGCGAAGGCGGCUCUCUGGUCUGCAACUGACGCUGAGGCUCGAAAGCAUGGGUAGCGAACAGGAUUAGAUACCCUGGUAGUCCAUGCCGUAAACGAUGAGUGCUAAGUGU
rnacentral:rRNA from 1 species